rnacentral:rRNA from 1 species
AGCGGAGGAAAAGAAACUAACAAGGAUUCCCCUAGUAACGGCGAGUGAAGCGGGAUGAGCUCAAGCUUAAAAUCUCUGUCACAAAUUUAUUUUGUGCGGCGAAUUGUAGUCUAUAGAGGCGUGGUCAGUGUAGGCACUUGAGAUAAGUUCCUUGAAAGAGGACAGCAUGGAGGGUGAUACUCCCGUUCAUACUUGAGUGGCUUAUGCGUACGACCCGUUUUCUUUGAGUCGCGUUGUUUGAGAAUGCAGCGCAAAGUAGGUGGUAAAUUCCAUCUAAAGCUAAAUAUUGGUGCGAGACCGAUAGCGAACAAGUACCGUGAGGGAAAGAUGAAAAGAACUUUGAAAAGAGAGUUAAAGAGUACCUGAAACUGCUGAAAGGGAACCGGAUCGUUUCUAGUGUCUAUAAUCUGUGACAUAUUUCAUUGGGGAGUGUAUGCGUGUGUAUACUGUGGCAGCGGCUAUUUUUGGCUGCGCUCGGUGUGCGUGCUGUAUGCGCUUACUGGUGCCCUGUGUUGCGGUGGGACGUCAAGGUCGGUUUGUAUACUGCGGGAAAUGGCUACUGAGGAGGUAGGGCUUACGCUUGCGUUUGUCUGUUAUAUCUUGGUGGUUGUGUCGUGGUUGAGACUGAGGUGUCUACAACGUGCUUUUGAGUGAGUCUGUGUCUCCGUGUGCACCGUGUGCGGAUAGCUUGCUAUGUGUGUGUGGUUGUGUGUGGAUUGAUGCGGACUUUAACUUGUAGCCGUUCGGGACGUUGGCGAAAUAGAGCGAUCUGACCCGUCUUGAAACACGGACCAAGGAGUCUAACAUGUGUGCAAGUGUUAGGGUGUGGAAACCCCAGCGCGAAAUGAAAGUAAAGGAUAGUGUAAACUGUCUUAGGUAGGAAACGUUGCGGAUUUCGGUCUGUGGCGUGGCACUAUCGACCGAUCAUGAACCUUCGUGGUGAAAGAUUUGAGUUUGAGCACAUAUGUUGGUACCCGAAAGAUGGUGAACUAUGCCUGAGUAGGGUGAAGC